AUUGAACGCUGGCGGCGUGCCUAAUACAUGCAAGUCGAGCGGGGAAAGCUUUCGGGUGAGUACUAGUGGCGCACGGGUGAGUAACGCGUGGAUAAUCUGCCUUAGAGUGGGGGAUAACUAGUCGAAAGAUUAGCUAAUACCGCAUAAGACCACAAGAACUGCGGUUCAAGAGGUCAAAGGUUUUUCGCUCUAAGAUGAGUCCGCGUAAGAUUAGCUAGUUGGUGAGGUAACGGCUCACCAAGGCAACGAUCUUUAACUGGUCUGAGAGGAUGAUCAGUCACACUGGAACUGAGACACGGUCCAGACUCCUACGGGAGGCAGCAGUAGGGAAUAUUGCACAAUGGAGGAAACUCUGAUGCAGCGACGCCGCGUGAGUGAUGAAGGCCUUCGGGUCGUAAAGCUCUGUCGCAGGGGAAUAACACAAUGAAUGUACCCUGUAAGAAAGGAUCGGCUAACUUCGUGCCAGCAGCCGCCGUAAUAC
rnacentral:rRNA from 1 species